GAAAUGCGAUAAGUAAUGUGAAUUGCAGAAUUCAGUGAAUCAUCGAAUCUUUGAACGCACAUUGCGCCCGCCAGCAUUCUGGCGGGCAUGCCUGUUCGAGCGUCAUUUCAACCCUCGAGCCCGACUCUUUUGAGGACGGCUCGGCGUUGGGGGACGGCAGACUCCCCCCGGCAUCUCGCCGGGGACGCCGCCCCCGAAAUCUAGUGGCGGCCCUCCGAGGCGACCUCUGCGUAGUAACUUGUUCUCGCACCGGAAAGCUCAGAGCGGUCGACCUCGGAUCAGGUAGGGUUACCCGCUGAACUUAA
rnacentral:misc_RNA from 1 species